rnacentral:rRNA from 1 species
AUUGAACGCUGGCGGCAUGCCUUACACAUGCAAGUCGAACGGCAGCACGGGAGCAAUCCUGGUGGCGAGUGGCGAACGGGUGAGUAAAGUAUCGGAACGUGCCCAGUCGUGGGGGAUAACGUAGCGAAAGUUACGCUAAUACCGCAUACGAUCUAUGGAUGAAAGCGGGGGAUCGCAAGACCUCGCGCGAUUGGAGCGGCCGAUAUCAGAUUAGGUAGUUGGUGGGGUAAAGGCUCACCAAGCCGACGAUCUGUAGCUGGUCUGAGAGGACGACCAGUCACACUGGGACUGAGACACGGCCCAGACUCCUACGGGAGGCAGCAGUGGGGAAUUUUGGACAAUGGGCGCAAGCCUGAUCCAGCCAUGCCGCGUGCAGGAUGAAGGCCUUCCGGUUGUAAACUGCUUUUGUACGGAACGAAAAGGUUUGACUUAAUACGUUGGACUCAUGACGGUACCGUAAGAAUAAGCACCGGCUAACUACGUGCCAGCAGCCGCAGUAAAAC